GUUGACGCUACCUUUUAGCGACAAUGAAAUUAUCUUCCUUUAUUCCUCCAUUGUCCUCCAGACGGUCCUUUUAUGUAAUAAAUAUAAUGCUCCAUCUGUAUACGUAAUACGUCUAUGCUCCGAGAUGUAGGAAUUACCUGGUCUGAAGUACUGUCGAUCUUGUCGACCUUUGUGGUUUAAUUAAUCGAUUCAAUGAUUAUUGUAUAUAAAUCAUCGAAUAUCUUACUUAUAUUUUGAUCUGUCGAAAAAAUUAUUACAUUGACAUUAUAGAUCAAUAUAUAUAAUUGCAAAUUUAUAAUUUAAUAUUGCUAGUCAAAUGCCUAAUGUCAUAAUGUCUAAGAAUGUAUAUUAUAUAUAUUGAUGUAUAUGAUAAUGUUAAAAAUUAAAAAUAAAUUGCCAUCAGUAUUAAAUAAUUAAAUAAAAAUGGAGGAGAGAGCAAUGCUAUGGAUGCUUUCUCUUGUUAUGUUUGUUGGAUCUUGUCUUGGAGCUGGAUCACUGCCAUUAAGUUAAAUAAAUUUAUCAGAAGAAGACAAGUUACAAUUAGUUUCAAUAUUAGGAGCAGGACUCCUUGUUGGUACUGCGCUAGCGAUUAUACCUGACUAUACCUGAGGGUGUAAGAGCAUUAUUUACUGUGGAUGGUAUUACUAAUGAAAAAGGUUCAUGUGGCAACAUUACAUACUUUAAUUGGAAUUAGUUUAGUACUUGGUUUAUGCUUUUAAUCGAUCAAUGUUCAGCCAGAAAAAGUGGAGGAAGACAAGAAAGUAUUACAGCAACUUUAGGUCUUAUAGUAGAUGCUGCGGAGUUGCGUUGGGAGCUGCUGCUACUACAUCUCAAGCUGAUGUCGAAGUGUCUUAGUUUUUCUUCGCAAUAAUGUUGCACAAAGCGCCAGAUGCAUUUGGACUUGUGUCAGUUUCUUCUUCAUGAAGGUGUAGAUAGAAAGUAAGAAAAUAAGCAGACACUUAUUAAUUUUCUCUCUUGCGGCACCGUGUCUUGUGACAUACACUUGUGACAUAUUUUGGAAUUGGAAAAGACAUUCAGGACUGCCGCGCAAGACUGCACGCGCCAAUCAGGCGCGAGAGCGGACGCGGACGCGCGAAGACACCCAAUCAGGAGCGAGGACUGCCGUGCGUGCGCGAAGACGUCCAAUCAGGCGCGGGAACUGCCGCGCACGCCGCCAAGACUCCCAAUCAGGCGCGAGGACUGCCGCGGACGCGCGAAGACGUCCAAUCAGGCGCGAGGACUGCCGAACAUGCGCGAAAUUGCAAAUUUGAAGGACAAGUUACAAUUAGUUUCAAUAUUAGGAGCAGGACUCCUUGUUGGUACUGCGCUAGCGAUUAUACCUGACUAUACCUGAGGGUGUAAGAGCAUUAUUUACUGUGGAUGGUAUUACUAAUGAAAAAGGUUCAUGUGGCAACAUUACAUACUUUAAUUGGAAUUAGUUUAGUACUUGGUUUAUGCUUUUAAUCGAUCAAUGUUCAGCCAGAAAAAGUGGAGGAAGACAAGAAAUGUAUUACAGCAACUUUAGGUCUUAUAGUAGAUGCUGCGGAGUUGCGUUGGGAGCUGCUGCUACUACAUCUCAAGCUGAUGUCGAAGUGUCUUAGUUUUUCUUCGCAAUAAUGUUGCACAAAGCGCCAGAUGCAUUUGGACUUGUGUCAGUUUCUUCUUCAUGAAAGUGUAGAUAGAAAGUAAGAAAAUAAGCAGACACUUAUUAAUUUUCUCUCUUGCGGCACCGUGUCU
rnacentral:sRNA from 1 species